UUCACUGAAAUUGUUCUUGUGUAAAAGAGGAGUAAAGUGCAUAUCUCAGACAUGUUCUUUUUUUAUUUUUUUUGUGUGUGUGUGUG